AACGAACGCUGGCGGCAUGCCUAACACAUGCAAGUCGAACGAGAUCUUCGGAUCUAGUGGCGCACGGGUGCGUAACGCGUGGGAAUCUGCCCCUUGCUUCGGAAUAACAGUGAGAAAUUACUGCUAAUACCGGAUGAUGUCUCCGGACCAAAGAUUUAUCGGCAAGGGAUGAGCCCGCGUAGGAUUAGGUAGUUGGUGGGGUAAUGGCCUACCAAGCCGACGAUCCUUAGCUGGUCUGAGAGGAUGAUCAGCCACACUGGGACUGAGACACGGCCCAGACUCCUACGGGAAGCAGCAGUGGGGAAUAUUGGACAAUGGGCGAAAGCCUGAUCCAGCAAUGCCGCGUGAGUGAUGAAGGCCUUAGGGUUGUAAAGCUCUUUUACCAGGGAUGAUAAUGACAGUACCGGGAGAAUAAGCUCCGGCUAACUCCGUG
rnacentral:rRNA from 1 species